GACAUUACUCGAAAGUAAUGAAACAUUGUGGUGACUGAUUUUUUCACUCUCAUAUCAAGAAUAACCUAUUGUCUUCGAACCAAUUGACACAUCCAUUAAAGGUUCCUGGCCUAUACAUUAUUAUAUCGAAUUAUCUACGAGCAUUUGAGGUGAAGCGAGUGAAACUCAUCGGAA